rnacentral:rRNA from 1 species
GAUGAACGCUGGCGGCGUGCCUAAUACAUGCAAGUCGAGCGAACGGACGAGAAGCUUGCUUCUCUGAUGUUAGCGGCGGACGGGUGAGUAACACGUGGAUAACCUACCUAUAAGACUGGGAUAACUUCGGGAAACCGGAGCUAAUACCGGAUAAUAUUUUGAACCGCAUGGUUCAAAAGUGAAAGACGGUCUUGCUGUCACUUAUAGAUGGAUCCGCGCUGCAUUAGCUAGUUGGUAAGGUAACGGCUUACCAAGGCAACGAUGCAUAGCCGACCUGAGAGGGUGUUCGGCCACACUGGAACUGAGACACGGUCCAGACUCCUACGGAAGGCAGCAGUAGGGAAUCUUCCGCAAUGGGCGAAAGCCUGACGGAGCAACGCCGCGUGAGUGAUGAAGGUCUUCGGAUCGUAAAACUCUGUUAUUAGGGAAGAACAUAUGUGUAAGUAACUGUGCACAUCUUGACGGUACCUAAUCAGAAAGCCACGGCUAACUACGUG